rnacentral:rRNA from 1 species
CCUACGGGAGGCAGCAGUGGGGAAUUUUGGACAAUGGGCGCAAGCCUGAUCCAGCCAUGCCGCGUGCGGGAAGAAGGCCUUCGGGUUGUAAACCGCUUUUGUCAGGGAAGAAAUCCUUUGAGCUAACACCUCGGGGGGAUGACGGUACCUGAAGAAUAAGCACCGGCUAACUACGUGCCAGCAGCCGCGGUAAUACGUAGGGUGCGAGCGUUAAUCGGAAUUACUGGGCGUAAAGCGUGCGCAGGCGGUCUUGCAAGACAGGUGUGAAAUCCCCGGGCUUAACCUGGGAACUGCACUUGUGACUGCAAGGCUGGUGUACGGCAGAGGGGGAUGGAAUUCCGCGUGUAGCAGUGAAAUGCGUAGAUAUGCGGAGGAACACCGAUGGCGAAGGCAAUCCCCUGGGCCUGUACUGACGCUCAUGCACGAAAGCGUGGGGAGCAAACAGGAUUAGAUACCCUGGUAGUCCACGCCCUAAACGAUGUCAACUGGUUGUUGGACGGCUUGCUGUUCAGUAACGAAGCUAACGNGUGAGUUGACCGCGUGGGGAGGUACGGCCGCGAGGUAGAACGUACGAAGAAGUAGACGGCGUGAGAGUAGCCGACGGACGACGACGAGGGAGGAGG